rnacentral:rRNA from 1 species
UACGUAGGGGGCAAGCGUUGUCCGGAAUCAUUGGGCGUAAAGCGCGCGUAGGCGGCUUGGCAAGUCUGACGUGAAAGCCCGCGGCUCAACCGCGGAUUGUCGUUGGAAACUGCCUCGCUAGAGUCCGGAAGAGGAGAGCGGAAUUCCUGGUGUAGCGGUGGAAUGCGCAGAUAUCAGGAGGAACACCGAUGGCGAAGGCAGGUCUCUGGGCAUUAACUGACGCGGAGGAGCGAAAGCAUGGGGAGCGAACAGG